CCUACGGGAGGCAGCAGUGAGGAAUAUUGGUCAAUGGGCGUAAGCCUGAACCAGCCAAGCCGCGUGAGGGAUGAAGGUUCUAUGGAUCGUAAACCUCUUUUCUAAGGGAAUAAAGUGUGGGACGUGUCCUAUUUUGUAUGUACCUUAUGAAUAAGGAUCGGCUAACUCCGUGCCAGCAGCCGCGGUAAUACGGAGGAUCCGAGCGUUAUCCGGAUUUAUUGGGUUUAAAGGGUUCGUAGGCGGCCUUGUAAGUCAGCGGUGAAAGUCUGUGGCUCAACCCGAGAAUUGCCGUUGAAACUGGGAGGCUUGAGUAUGAUUGAGGCAGGCGGAAGGCGUGGUGUAGCGGUGAAAUGCUUAGAUAUCACGCAGAACCCCGAUUGCGAAGGCAGCCUGCCAAGCCAUGACUGACGCUGAUGCACGAAAGCGUGGGGAUCAAACAGGAUUAGAUACCCUUGUAGUC
rnacentral:rRNA from 1 species